GCGGACGGGUGAGUAACACGUGGAUAACCUACCUAUAAGACUGGGAUAACUUCGGGAAACCGGAGCUAAUACCGGAUAAUAUAUUGAACCGCAUGGUUCAAUAGUGAAAGACGGUUUUGCUGUCACUUAUGGAUGGAUCCGCGCCGCAUUAGCUAGUUGGUAAGGUAACGGCUUACCAAGGCAACGAUGCGUAGCCGACCUGAGAGGGUGAUCGGCCACACUGGAACUGAGACACGGUCCAG
rnacentral:rRNA from 1 species